rnacentral:rRNA from 1 species
GCACGGGGGGCCUACGGGAGGCAGCAGUGGGGAAUAUUGGACAAUGGGCGCAAGCCUGAUCCAGCAAUGCCGCGUGUGUGAAGAAGGCCUUCGGGUUGUAAAGCACUUUCAAUUGGGAGGAAAAGUUAUUCGUUAAUAGCGUAUAGCCGUGACGUUACCAAUAGAAGAAGCACCGGCUAACUCCGUGCCAGCAGCCGCGGUAAUACGGAGGGUGCAAGCGUUAAUCGGAAUUACUGGGCGUAAAGCGCGCGUAGGCGGUUUAUUAAGUCAGAUGUGAAAUCCCCGGGCUCAACCUGGGAAUUGCAUUUGAGACUGGCAGGCUAGAGUGUGGUAGAGGUGAGUGGAAUUUCAGGUGUAGCGGUGAAAUGCGUAGAGAUCUGAAGGAACAUCAGUGGCGAAGGCGACUCACUGGGCCAUUACUGACGCUGAGGUGCGAAAGCGUGGGUAGCAAACAGGAUUAGAUACCCUGGUAGUCCACGCCCUAA